GGUUCGAACGAUGUCCAACACCUGAGCAGGUCAGAGGUCAGAGGUCAGAGGUGAAAACAGAACACGUGAUGAUGAUGAUGAUGAGAGGAGCUGAUGCUGCCGUACAGGAGGACGCCGCGUCUCUGACUGACGUGUGUAGUCCAGCUUCACCAGCCAAUAGGAGGCCACUUUUGGUUUGUGAUACUUCCAGUUGUCAUGCAUCUGAGUGAGAAAGUGACACCUUCAUCCUCACAGACGCCUCUGACACCUCAGCACAGACACGGAGUCGAUAACAAUGUCGGCUCCACCGAUCACUCGGCUCAGUUACGGCUUCAGGCACAUUUUACUGUGGAGCGUGUUGACGGCACGCCAUGGUAACGCUGCCUGAGAAACACAUCUGGAUUUGUUGUAUCAGAAGAGUUUAGAGCCACUGCCACAGAACCAGAAAGUGGUCCCAGGGGGGCGCUCCAGUGCAAACCUUAUACUGUAUGUGUUUACACACACACACACACACACACACAUACACACUCACAAAGAAAAACAAAAAUACACACAAUUGUAAGAACUAAGAAAUAAAUAUCCUGCUGGGAAACAAUUCUUUUUGGAAUUAGGAUUAAUUGUGUUUUUUUUUCCACCAUUAAUUGCAUCGUUAGGUCCAAAAUUAAAUAAUGAAGUGUGUUGUAACUGUUGGUCUGCCAACAAUUUAAACAGUGACAGCGACACAUCAAAUCUUUGGUUUACUCUCUGAUCCAUCUUUGAGUCAAUGGAAUAUUAUCAACCAGUUUUUUAAACGAUCAGGGAAACAUUCUCAUCAUUGACUCAUUAACAUUAACAACAUUAAUCACUGUCACAAAUUAUUAAGACUUAGAAAAGUGACUCACAGGAGCAUUUUUUAAAUCAGAACUGGAGAAAAGACUAAAUGGUUCUUUAAGAAUCCAAGUCCACAGUUGGGUUUGUGUCACUGUGUCUCUGUGAAGAUUUAAGAAUAUUCAAAAAAAACCAACUCAGAGGCUGGAAGUCGUUUAGCUGCUAGUUAGUGAUUAGUUCUAUAACGGCCACGCUCACGUUAACUGUCGAGUAUUUUCUUUUUUUUUUUCUUUCUUCAGAUAUUUUCACGGCUGAACUUUUCUGUGACCGUUUAAAGUCUACAGUCCAUUCAUCCGUCGGACGGUACGACAGACCUAAAACGGCGCCGUUUCUUCUACUCAUUUAGCUUCUUCUGCUUCACGGUCACAUGAACAAUAAAACUGGGAGGAGAACAUGUGUCACAUUUGUGGCUUACGGACAUAAAAUUCCUUCCAAUUAGCAAAAGAAAAAGCUAAUUAGGCAAAAGGUUGACUUUGAGUCAAAGAUGAAGGAGGUCGUUACUCUGACAAUACGACAUCAUUCUCUGGAUUGGUCCUAAAUAUAAAAACAUAAUAAAAUAAGCUCUUGGUUCCAGGUAAACGUCUCCUGAGGCUCAGACAUGAACAUCACAGGUGCGGAGGUAAUUGUGUUGCACAAACCUGACACACACACACACACAGAUGUCUCUCUCACACACACACACAUCUACAUACAAUUUAUUUCUCUGUUCUCUUAGUGAAAAUUACCUGGUGACUUGUUCUAGUUUAACCUUGAUUUAUAAACACACAGAUUUUAUUACGACGUUCAGUGAUUACAUUUACUGCUGUGAGGAAAGUCGUGGCCUCUCGACUGAUGCCACUCAUGUCCACUGCACCACAGACUUUUAAUUUACACCGUUUCAGUUGAAAACACUGCUUUCCAACAAAUAAACUGCUCCUUAAACUAGACCUGUAACAGAACAAGUCCUGGCCCGACGUCGUCUCUGAUGUUGUUGACCUACUUCACCAAACUACUCAUUAGGCCAACGCUGAAGUCAGAGAGGAAAACACACAACACUACCUGACUGGACCGCUGCAUGUUUCUGGGUACGACUCUGACACUAGAACAGGUAUCUGAGUCCACGACGUCAGGGCAGUUCAUAUAAAACCUGGGCCAAACCACUACACCGUCAGGUUUGUCACAACACCACUGAAGAGGAAAGAGCAAAGAGAGAUCCACUCUCAUUUUCAUGAACCUCCUGACUGAUGUGCUUUUGUUUUUGACAGUAGGUCAACAAAGGUCAAACACAGUAUGGAGCGGCGGCAGGAAGUUAUAUUUAGUCUAAAAACUUACAGGAAUUUAUUCCAAUAUUUGAAUAUUUCAACAGUACUAAACCCUGACUUUAUUGAAUUUUUUUCCAGCAGCCUGCUCCCAGCAGCACAGCACGUCCACCAAUUACAAAUAAGUACAAAAACUAAUGAGCCAUAUACCACAAGCCGUACUGUAUGUCUUUAAAAGUACAAAUUAAACAAAUGAAUGCUAAUGGUUUUAGCAGAAACACAAGUGGAAGAAAACACCAGAUGGCAGGACACAGAGGUGUGCCCAGAAAUAGAGGAGGCCAUGAUUAAAACAAAGGAGCAGCGGGGAAUAAGUCUGAGCCGCAGACGGAGCGACAGGUUGUCACUGAGGUCAUUUGUGACACGGCGAACGCCAGGCCGAUGUGGACACGCUAGAGCGGAGGGGGAGGAGGUCACUUUUAGUUAGGCUGCAGAGUGACCGCACCUGGCCACAGAGGGGACUGUGGGAGUACGAAAAGAUCUGCACUUCUGUACAACACGUUUGCCACCUUCACCGCUGCCGCCUUUUGGUUUUUUCUUUUUCUUUUUCUUUUUGUAACUGAACCAGAAUCUCAGUGACUCUGUGUCAGGAAACUAUUUAAGGAUAAUGUUUGUAGGUUUUUAGUAAAAAAAAAAAACU